UAGUUGGUGGUAUAGUGGUGAGCAUAGCUGCCUUCCAAGCAGUUGAACUUGGCUUGAUUCCCGGCCAAUAUC
rnacentral:tRNA from 1 species